CUUGGGCCCUGCACCCCAUGGGAGACCAGGAGAAGCACCUGGCUCCUGCCUUCGGAUAGGCGUGGUGCACCAGCCACAGCGCGCCGGCUGCGGCAGCCAUUGGAGGGUGAACCAACGGCAAAAGGAAGACCUUUCUCUCUGUCUCUCUCUCUUUCAUUGUCCACUCUGCCUGUCAAAAAAAAAUGUUGACUUGUUUGUAUGAUAUUCUUUUUAACACAUCUGCAGUGAUAUCUCUUUUUGCAUUCCUAAUAUUGAUAAUUUGAGCCUUUUCUCUUGAACUUUAUUGAAAUAAAGAAUUUCUAUUCAUUGGGGCUGGCACAGUGGUAUAGUAGGUUAACCCUCUGCCUGCAGUGCCAGCAUCCCAUAUGAGCACCAGUUCAUAUCCCAGCUGCUCCUCUUGCAAUCCAGCUCUCUGCUAAUGGCCUGGGAAAACAGUGGAAGAUGGCUCAAGUGCUUGGGCCCCUGCAAACCCAUGGGAGAGCUGGAAGAAACUCCUGGCUCCAGGAAUAUAUUGGUAUAGAAGAAUAAUAAGACCCACUUGACAUUAAUUUCCAAAUGUAAUCAUUCAAAUAGUUUCAUCCUUCUCAUUGUCAUCACUUUCUCUUUUCGUUAGCCUUACCAGUAAAACGUCAGUUAAUGAAUCUACCUGUAGGCCGAGUUGAUAAAAUGAUUGACUUAUUCUAAGAUAUGAGGUUUUGGCUUUAGUGAGGUUGAUAAGCUUGUUUAGAAGCCACUGUACAUUUUUUUAUUUGAAGCUUUUCUCUCUUUCAGGCAUUCAUUAAGAACUCAACUUUCCUCUUAUAUCUAAAUGAAACCGUCUUUUAAAGACCGAAGCAAAGGAGGCUUUGGAGAUGACAGAUGCCUGAAAGUGCUGCAGAGAACUUGGAUAAAGAAUUUUUGUUUGAUUCUGUAAGCCGUGAUUCUUAACCAGGCUGGUUUUAGACCUGCUCACCUUCCCUGUGAGUAUACUGAACACAAGAUCUAAUACUACCAAUAUUUGUAGGAAGGAGCAGAGAGUGAACUGCUAAACUAAUGUUAAGUUGAAACUUGUUUCAGAAGAUUAUAUUCACAGAAGAAAUAGAAGUGUGUUUAGUUUCCCAGAUAUGCUUGAAAAUGUGUUUGUCUGUCAGCAGCCACGUUUCUCCUUAGAUAGAUAAGUUAAUUAGUAUUCCAUUAAGAAGUGGUAGAAAUUGAGGCAGGAGGCACUGUCUAGUAAAUAAGCCAGCGAGAAAAAUAUAUAAAUGAAAGCAGCAGUCACAUGUCUGGGAAUUAUUCCCCUUUCUUGUGAUCUUGAAUCAAUUUGUAUCUCUAAUUUUGCUGUACAUAUCUAAGCAUAUACAUACAUUUACUUUAGUUCAUCUGUAGAAUAUCUUAUAAUCAUAAGAAUUUCCCACUGUUGAAGCAAGGGUAUAUAUAAGGUUUGAGUCAUAGAUAAGACAUUCUUUUCCUUCCUACUCAGUUAACUCCACUAUUAGCCUGGGCUUUUUUUCCUACUUUGCUUUCUCUCUGAUGUAUACAGCAUGUGGCAUUCUCUGUUCUGACUAAAGAGUGAAAUACAACAGCAACAUUUGGGCUGAAUGGGGCAGAAGUCCAAUUGGUACAACCAGUUGUCAUGGCUAGUGUAAGUCAUGACCUUGUAACAAAAUGAAAGUAGAACGAAAUCUGGUAUAGUGAGGCAGAUGUACUUGUUUCGUUGAUGUGGAUGUCUCUGCCCAGGGGUUCUCACUGUGCACCAUGGCACAGAGGUGUCCUUAAAGCCUUCCCAGUUCCAUGAUAAAGUUUUGAUUAUAGAUAUUGAGUUCAUGUGACAGUUGAGGAAUCACACUUUCAGAGUGCUAUGUGCUGCACCAAAGUACAGCCAGGUAUGAGGGAU
rnacentral:lncRNA from 1 species